rnacentral:misc_RNA from 1 species
UCCGGUUUGUCACCGGCAGUCUCCUUAGAGUGCCCAACUGAAUGAUGGCAACUAAGGACAAGGGUUGCGCUCGUUGCGGGACUUAACCCAACAUCUCACGACACGAGCCGACGACAGCCAUGCAGCACCUGUCUCACGGUUCCCGAAGGCACCCCCGCAUCUCUGCAGGGUUCCGUGGAUGUCAAGACCAGGUAAGGUUCUUCGCGUUGCAUCGAAUUAAACCACAUACUCCACCGCUUGUGCGGGCCCCCGUCAAUUCCUUUGAGUUUCAACCUUGCGGCCGUACUCCCCAGGCGGGGAACUUAUCGCGUUAGCUACGACACCGAUUUGCUAGGCAAACCGACGUCAAGUUCCCAUCGUUUACAGCGUGGACUAC